rnacentral:rRNA from 1 species
AUUGAACGCUGGCGGCAGGCCUAACACAUGCAAGUCGAGCGGAUGAAGGGAGCUUGCUCCUGGAUUCAGCGGCGGACGGGUGAGUAAUGCCUAGGAAUCUGCCUGGUAGUGGGGGAUAACGUCCGGAAACGGGCGCUAAUACCGCAUACGUCCUGAGGGUGAAAGUGGGGGAUCUUCGGACCUCACGCUCUCAGAUGAGCCUAGGUCGGAUUAGCUAGUUGGUGGGGUAAAGGCCUACCAAGGCGACGAUCCGUAACUGGUCUGAGAGGAUGAUCAGUCACACUGGAACUUAGACACGGUCCAGGCUCCUACGGGAGGCAGCAGUGGGGAAUAUUGGACAAUAGGCGAAAGCCUUAUCCAGCCAUGCCGCGUGUGUGAAGAAGGUCUUCGGAUUGUAAAGCACUUUAAGUUGGGAGGAAGGGCAGUAAGUUAAUACCUUGCUGUUUUGACGGUACCAACAGAAUAAGCACCGGCUAACUUCGUG